UUUCCGUAGGUGAACCUGCGGAAGGAUCAUUACCUGGCCUUGGGCCGCUCCCGGGGGUUCGCCCCCGAGGGUGCUUAGCCCUUGACUCUCACCUUGAUUAUGCGCACCUUUGUUGUUCCCUCGGCAGGUCUCCUGCCGCCAGGGACCCCAAAACCCCUUAGUAUCAGCAUCAAACUUCUGAAAACAAACCUAAUUAUUUACAACUUUCAACAAUGGAUCUCUUGGUUCUGGCAUCGAUGAAGAACGCAGC
rnacentral:misc_RNA from 1 species